rnacentral:rRNA from 1 species
AUACGUAGGGAGCGAGCGUUGUCCGGAAUUACUGGGUGUAAAGGGAGCGUAGGCGGGGGUGCAAGUCAGAUGUGAAAUACAUGGGCUCAACCCAUGGGCUGCAUUUGAAACUGCAUUUCUUGAGUGAAGUAGAGGUAAGCGGAAUUCCUGGUGUAGCGGUGAAAUGCGUAGAUAUCAGGAGGAACACCGGUGGCGAAGGCGGCUUACUGGGCUUUUACUGACGCUGAGGCUCGAAAGCGUGGGGAGCAAACAGGAUUAGAUACCCUGGUAGUCCACGCUGUAAACGAUGAUUACUAGGUGUGGGGGGACUGACCCCUUCCGUGCCGCAGUUAACACAAUAAGUAAUCCACCUGGGGAGUACGGCCGCAAGGUUGAAACUUAAAGGAAUUGACGGGG